rnacentral:lncRNA from 1 species
AUCAUGAUCAUGAUGGAGUACGGCAUCAUUACCCAGAAACGGUUCUUGCAUUGCUCCGUGCGCAGGUUUCCAAACUUUAUAAGUUGGUUUUUCCUGGGCGGCGAGUGUCUGUUUAUGACGGGUAUUCAUAAUAUGAUAUUUAUCAUUUGGAAUGUUAUUGGAAGUUAAUAGAUAUUUAUUACUAUCGUUGCCGGAAGUAUAUUUUUUGGUUCACAAAGUUGUGUGUUAAAUUACUUAGUAUAGAUACUAUUAUAUAUGAUGUAUGCAUAUGUAUAUAUGAGAUUAUUGUAUUGUACUGAAUUAAAAUUCGAUUAAAUGCUGGCUCCAGUCUGUCUGCACGGCAAAAUGCA